rnacentral:tRNA from 1 species
GGAGACGUGGCCGAGUGGCUGAAGGCGGCGCUUUGCUAAAGCGUUAUACUCAGAAAUGGGUAUCCAGGGUUCGAAUCCCUGCGUCUCCGCCA